GAUGAACGCUGGCGGCGUGCCUAAUACAUGCAAGUCGAGCGAACGGACGAGAAGCUUGCUUCUCUGAUGUUAGCGGCGGACGGGUGAGUAACACGUGGAUAACCUACCUAUAAGACUGGGAUAACUUCGGGAAACCGGAGCUAAUACCGGAUGAUAUUUUGAACCGCAUGGUUCAAAAGUGAAAGACGGUCUUGCUGUCACUUAUAGAUGGAUCCGCGCUGCAUUAGCUAGUUGGUAAGGUAACGGCUUACCAAGGCAACGAUGCAUAGCCGACCUGAGAGGGUGAUCGGCCACACUGGAACUGAGACACGCUCCAGACUCCUACGGGAGGCAGCAGUAGGGAAUCUUCCGCAAUGGGCGAAAGCCUGACGGAGCAACGCCGCGUGAGUGAUGAAGGUCUUCGGAUCGUAAAACUCUGUUAUUAGGUAAGAACAUAUGUGUAAGUAACUGUGCACAUCUUGACGGUACCUAAUCAGAAAGCCACGGCUAACUACGUG
rnacentral:rRNA from 1 species